UGAAGCCUCUUUCUGCGUCCUCGGCCUCGAAGAGGACUCUUGUCCCUGCUCUCAACAUGCGUUUGUGGUAUGCUCCUCAUCUCGAGUUGCCUAACGGGGUGGUCUUGAAAGGAGCGACUCUGGUUGCGAUCCGGCCGAGCGAGCAGCCCAAGAAGGAGGUGGCGGGAUCGGAGGCAAAUUGGGUUGCAUCGGCAUUUGAGGAGCCAUUUGGGACUGCUGCAAGGAUGUUGGUGAAGAGGAGGACCUACUGCCUCGAAAUGAACUCUUUCUGAAGGAGGGGCCUUGUUUGAGAUGAUGAGACAGAUGCAUGAGGUACUUCCCUUUUUUAUGAUGUGGUUGAAUGCUAGGAGUAUAUUGUAUUCUCUGUUUUCUGUUGCUUUUUUCCCAUUCCCUUCGAAGUUAUAUUAUCAAUUAUCUUGUUUAUUGUCUCUUGUUAGUUUAUUCUUGUUAAUGUUUCAAUGAUAGUAAACCGCUCUGUGUAGGUUUCUGAAAAUCAUGGGUGUCAUAUUCUUGAUUAAUAAGUUCUGUUACCAAUUGCAUAUGGUUUUGCACUAAAUUACACAUUGGAUCCCCUAUUACAUAAGAGAGGUGCUUGAAGUAUGUCUUAAUCUAAAUAGUUUUGCCAGUCUGGUUCCAAUAAUUUCCUGAUAUUAGAGAUAUUAUCUUGCAUUCUGCCAUAUUUCAUGCUAUUUUCUUGGUUCUUCAUCUGUUUUGAAAUUUGAUUGUUUACAAAUGAAGAUGCUUGUUGUAAUACUGUUUCAUUGGUUCUGCAUCUUAUCAAUUGAGGUUGGAAGGGCACCGUCUAUCUCCAUUUCUAGAAAGCUAGGUGAAAUUUUCGUUCCGUUGUGAUGCAUCUGUCAUCUGGCUGGGACAUUGUGAAUGCGUUGUGAUUGUGAUUAUGGCAAACCAAUACGAAGUUGAAUGACUUAAGAGUUCUGCCAUGAUAACCUUUUAAUGUCUUCCAUUUCUCAAUUAACGUUGUAAGCUUGUUAUUAUUCAUGCCUAAGCUGCUAUGCCCAACCACUUUCUCUGUUCACGGAUUUCGCGUUUGCACUCUAGUUUUUGGGGAAUUCUGUGCUGCCACUGCGAUAUUGUCAUCUCUUAUAAGCUCUUCUUUCUUUAAAUACUGAUCUUUUUCUCCCUAAUCUAUUGGUAAUUCUGAUUUCUUUGUUCUAUACAAGGAUCUUUCAGGUAGAGUGUGGCAACGGAAGGUCCCAAAAGCGCAGAGCACGAAUUUUGUCUUGAGCAGAGCAAGCUGCAAGCCAGUUGCCGGCCAAGUUCAUACGGCUUCCGGUUACGACGUUGGUGGUUGAUGAAGAGCCUGCAAUUGAUGAUCAAACUGCUUUCAUUUUGAAUACUUUAAAGAGGGGGGGUGCUAUGCAACUGGAUAAUCAUGUUGUAAGAGUUAUGAGAUUUUGAUAAUCUGUCUGUGUUAGUUAUAUGUAUAUGUGAAUAUUGUAGGUAUGAUAUGACCAUCUAUGCUUAUCUGCUCUCCUUUUUCUGAAAGGUUCAGCUGCAUAUUAUAUUUUAGCUGAUUUACCCACCAAUAAAUGUCAAAACGCCUCUUCAUUUCUAUUAAUCAAGGAUAUUUUGUAGUUCAAUCUUCAUUUGUUUAUUUCUGCUAGGGUAGCAAAAUGAUUUUAUUUACUCAAUUCUUCGAUAUUUUUUCUAUGGUAUUAUCCUUUGAUUGUGACUGCCAUUUUCUCCACACCCUUCUAUUCUUCAUCAAUCAUCACUGCGCUAUAUAAUUAAAAGGACUAUAAAACAAAAUGAACAUAUAAAAAUAGUUGAUAUUAUAUGCAAAACCCUACUAUUCUUUUUACGGAGACUACGAAGUCAAAAAACAUAAUUAAUUUUGAAAAAUUAUAGUACUCUUUUCAGUAUACAAAAAAUUUGUCAUAUAUAUAUUUUUUCCGAUCUGUUCACGAAAACAUGUUAUUUAUAUUUAUAAUAGUAGAGUUCACACAACUUCACACACAUUAAAAUUGAGACUCUAGCUCUAUUAAAAAUUUUAUUCGCAUUUUAUUAAAAUUUAUGCUAUCUAUAAUGUGACAAUUUUUUUUGUGGACAGAUGAAUAGGUGUAACAAACGGAUUAUGUAAUUACUACUCCCCGUCCACGAAAAAUAAAAAUACUAGUUUCUUUUUAUUAUUUUGGGGUAUCCACGAAAAUUGAUCUCUAUACAUUAUUGAAAACUUUCUAUCAAGUGGUGAACUAUUUUCGCUACUCACAAUACAAUUAAUUAUCAUUAUUAAUAUUAUUUUUUUAAAUGAGACUCCUCUAUUUGUGAUACACUCAAUUAUUUUUAUUAAAAUUUGUGUCAUCCUCUUCUAUGACUAUUUUUUUGUGGACAAAUAGAUUAUUUGUGAGUAUAUUUUGGUAAAAAAAAAACGGUUGAAAACUUGAAAUCACACAUGUAUGAAUCAUUGAAUUGGAUCCUCUUCUUCAAUAUCAAUUCAGUGAAAUCUUGGAGACUCGAAUUAUUAGUGUUAGUAGGUAAAAAUGCCCACUUUGUUAAGUGUAAAAUUAAAAAUCUCACUUUUUAUAAAAACUUGAUCAUAUGCCCAAAUUAAAGUGAUGAAUCGAAAUUAUCCUUGGAUGUUGAUGAUUUUGCAUCAACUUUUGUGUAACUUUUUCUGAUACAAAUACAAAUAUUUAAGAAAAAUAUAAGAAAAAGUAGUCUGCUGUCGGAAAAGUAGGUUGUCACUCGAGCGGCAACCUACUUAGUGAGGUUGCCGCUCGUACGACAAGCUACUUUUUUGACCGGUAAGCUACAUUUUUAAUUGAAAAUUUUAAUUUGUUACAAGAAAAAGUAGGUUGCCGCUCGGGAGGCAACCUACUUAGUGAGGUUGCCAAUCGAGCGACAACCUACUUUUCCGACAACUGACUACUCCCUCCGUCCGCCAAAAAUAUGACACUUUGGCUGGGCACGAGAUUUAAUAAAAUUGGUAAUAAUGUUGAUGUAGUGGAGAAAUGGUCUCACAAUUUUAUGAGAUGUGUGGUUGAAAUUGAAUUUGAGGUGAAUUUUUUGUAAAUAAAGAGUGUUUGUAAGGAUAAAAUAUAAAAAUGGAUGGUGGGACCAUUGCCUUAAAAGGAAAGUUGUAUAAUCUUUGCGGACGCCCAAUAUAGUAAUUGUGUCAUACUUUUGGCGGACAUAUGAGAUAUUUUUUAUCUUACAAGUACACUGAUUGAGACAUGAAGGGUAGUUUAGGUAUUUUGAGUAUAUGAUUAAGUUUUUAUAAUAUGUGGAUAUUUUUAAUUUUUGACUUAACCAAAUAGGCAUAAAAAAUUCCGCCUCCGAAUUAUUAGUUACUAGAAAAUUAAAAGAGAAGAAAAGAAAAAAGAAGAAAAGAAAAUACUAGUAUAAUAUAGAAAAAAUACAGUAUAAAAAUAAAACGGAACGACAGGCAGCAAUGUCGUUUGGGAAUUCAACUGUCCCAGGCUCCGCAUAUCUACUGUCAUAGGCUCAUAGCCAUAGGCACUUAAAAAGCAAAGAAAAAAAAGAAAGAAAAAAACGAGAAGAAAGAAAAACACGCACAACACACACCACACCACCAUUUUCCUCUUCCUCCUCCUUCACUCACUUCUCCCAAAUUCCCCCCACCUCAUUAAACUCCCACCCUAAUUCCACAAAUCCAAACUCUCUCCCUCUCUCUCUCAGAUCCAUUGAGUUUGUUUGACUCAAUUUCUUCCUUCACAUCUUUCUACCUAAACUCGCUUGAAAUCACCUUCCGAUUCUCGUGUAUCUGGUGCCAACUUGUUGGGGGUGUUUUGGCUCAAGAGCUCGAAUUGUCGCUGAAAGCUAUGGCUUCGAUUGGAGCAGAUCUGUGCCGCAAAAUCUACCCCGAGCCGGUCGACCACUUCGAUCGGUUGCCGGACUCUCUCAUCCUCUUGAUCUUCAAUAAAAUCGGAGACGUGAAGGCGCUGGGCCGAUGCUGCGUCGUUUCGAGGCGGUUCCACUCGCUCGUUCCCCAAGUCGACAACGUCGUAGUCCGCGUCGACUGCGUCAUCUCCGAUGACGAUCCUUCCUCCAACUCUUCUUCGUCCGCAUCCGGUUCCGCCGCCGGCGACAAGUCGCGCCACCCUAUCUCCUCCCUCUUCCGCAUCUUCUUCUCCGGGAUCUUCAAACCCUUGCAGUCCCUGUCUCAGCUCAUCACCCCCUCGGCGCGCCGGCUUCCUCUUUCGGAGGUAUUUCGACUGCGAAGCGGAGCAGAGCACCGUCACACACCAUUCGCCGACGCAGGUCUUGAAGAAUUCAACGAGAUCAAGCUGCUCAGGAUAGAGCCUCCCCGACGGGGGAGCUGGGGAUUGAUGAAGGCGUUUUGCUCAAAUGGAAGCGGAAUUCGGCUCCACGCUUGACAGCUGCGUGAUUCUCGGAGCUUCGAGCGUCGUGCAGAGUGCAAAUAGCGGCUACAAUUGCCUGGGCGCUUGCAAUACCGCAAUUGGUGGUGAUAGUGGAGUGGAGAACGAUAAUGGUAGCAUACCGGAAUCGUUCUACACCAACGGAGGCCUGAAGCUGCGCGUUGUGUGGACCAUCAGCUCGUUGAUCGCCGCCUCCGCCAGGCAUUACCUUCUGCAGCCUAUAAUAGCGGAGCACAAGACGCUCUCGAGCUUGGUUUUGACGGAUGCUGAUGGGCAAGGGGUGCUGUCUAUGAAUAAGGAGCAGCUGGAGGAGCUGAGGGUGAAGCCUCUGUCAGCGUCGUCGGCUUCGAAGAGGACUCUUGUUCCGGCUCUCAACAUGCGUUUGUGGUAUGCUCCUCAUCUCGAGUUGCCUAACGGGGUGGUCUUGAAAGGAGCGACUCUGGUUGCGAUCCGGCCGAGCGAGCAGCCCAAGAAGGAGGUGGCGGGAUCGGAGGCAAAUUGGGUUGCAUCGGCGUUUGAGGAGCCAUUUGGGACUGCUGCAAGGAUGUUGGUGAAGAGGAGGACCUACUGCCUCGAAAUGAACUCUUUCUGAAGGAGGUGGCUUAUCUAAGGAUGAAGAGACAGAUGCAUGAGGUAUUUUCUCUUUUUUCUCUUUUUUUACAGAAUCCUUUAAUAAGUUUUGAUUGUUUCGGAGAUCUGUGGUUGAAUGCUAGCUAGUAUAUUGUAAUUCUUCAUUCUGUUGCUUUUUAUCUUAGGUUCGAAGUUGAAUUGUCUCUUGUUUGUUUAUUCUUAUUGCUGUUUCAAUGAUAAUAAAUUACUCUGUCUUGGUUUCUGAAAAUCAUGAGCAAUUUCUCAUACCAAUUGCUUCUGAUUUUUCCCUAAAUUGCAUAUUGGAUUCCCAAUUACAUAAGAGGGGUGCUUGAAGCUAUUGACUCCCUUUGCAUCUGUCUUAUUCCAAAGAGUUUUUCCACUCUGAUUCCAAUUGCGUCCUGAUUUUGGAUCCACUAUGUUGUUAUCUUGCAGUCUGUCACAUUCCCUUCAAUUUUGUUGGUUCAUAAUUUUUUUACUCCAAAUGAAGAAGAAUCAGAAGAUGCUUGUUGUGAACUACUUGAUCUGUUCUUUAUCUUAUCUAAUGGGAAUUGAAGGGCACUGUGUAUCUCCAUUGCUAGAAAGAUUGGUGGAAAUUUCAUUCUGCUAUGAUGCAUCUGUUUGGUUUUUAUACUCCUUACGUUUCUCAGUUAACCAUUUUAUAUCUAAGCUGUUGUGAGAGUGACUCUUGACCAGUUUCCUGUUUGAAUACUAGUUUUUGGGAAAUUCUGUGCUGCAACUGCGACAUCACCAUCUGUUUUAAGCUUUGAUUUCUUGAAUCCGUUUUAUAUCAGUGAUCCUGACUUCCUUAUUCAAGUAUCUUUCAGGUAAGCGAAGGUAAGGUCCCAAAAUCGCAGAGUGCAAAUUUUGUCUUGAGCAGAGCAAGCUGCAAGCGAGUUGCCGGCAAN
rnacentral:lncRNA from 1 species